rnacentral:rRNA from 1 species
GAUCCAGACCUUGAUCAUGGCUCAGAGUGAACGCGGGCGGCGUGCUUAACACAUGCAAGUCGAACGAGAACGGGUUAUAGCUUGCUAUAACUGUCAGCUAAGUGGCGCACGGGUGAGUAAUGUAUAGUUAACCUGCCCUCGAGAAAGGAAUAACAGUUGGAAACGACUGCUAAUGCCCUAUAUGCCUUUAAGACAUAAGUCUGCAAGGGAAAUGCUUUAGUGCUCGAGGGUGGGACUGUAUGGUAUCAGCUAGUUGGUGAGGUAAUGGCUCACCAAGGCAAUGACGCCUAACUGGUUUGAGAGGAUGAUCAGUCACACUGGAACUGAGACACGGUCCAGACUCCUACGGGAGGCAGCAGUGGGGAAUAUUGCACAAUGGAGGAAACUCUGAUGCAGCAACGCCGCGUGGAGGAUGACACUUUUCGGAGCGUAAACUCCUUUUAUAUAGGAAGAUAAUGACGGUACUAUAUGAAUAAGCACCGGCUAACUCCGUGCCAGCAGCCGCGGUAAU